rnacentral:rRNA from 1 species
GAUGGCGACCGGCGCACGGGUGAGUAACACGUAUCCAACCUGCCGAUGACUCGGGGAUAGCCUUUCGAAAGAAAGAUUAAUAUCCGAUAGCAUAUAUUUCCCGCAUGGGUUUUAUAUUAAAGAAAUUCGGUAUGAGAUGGGGAUGCGUUCCAUUAGUUUGUUGGGGGGGUAACGGGCCCACCAAGACUACGAUGGAUAGGGGUUCUGAGAGGAAGGUCCCCCACAUUGGAACUGAGACACGGCCCAGACUCCUACGGGAGGCAGCAUG